UCGCCCAUUAAAGCGGUACGCGAGCUGGGUUCAGAACGUCGUGAGACAGUUCGGUCCCUAUCCGUCGUGGGCGUAGGAAAUUUGAGAGGAGCUGUCCUUAGUACGAGAGGACCGGGAUGGACAUACCUCUGGUGUACCAGUUGUCGUGCCAACGGCAUAGCUGGGUAGCUAUGUAUGGACGGGAUAAGUGCUGAAAGCAUCUAAGCAUGAAGCCCCCCUCGAGAUGAGAUUUCCCAACUUCGGUUAUAAGAUCCCUCAAAGACGAUGAGGUGAAUAGGUUCGAGGUGGAAGCGUAGCGAUACGUGGAGCUGACGAAUACUAAUCGAUCGAAGACUUAAUCAACAU
rnacentral:rRNA from 1 species